UACGUAGGGCGCGAGCGUUGUCCGGAAUUAUUGGGCGUAAAGAGCUCGUAGGCGGCCUGUUGCGUCCGCUGUGAAAUCCCAGGGCUUAACCCUGGGCGUGCAGUGGAUACGGGCAGGCUGGAGGCAGGCAGGGGAGAACGGAAUUCCCGGUGUAGCGGUGAAAUGCGCAGAUAUCGGGAGGACCACCGGUGGCGAAGCCGGUUCUCUGGGCCUUACCUGACGCUGAGGCGCGAAAGCUAGGGGAGCGAACAGG
rnacentral:rRNA from 1 species